GGCUUACCAAGGCGACGAUCAGUAGCCGACCUGAGAGGGUGAUCGGCCACAUUGGAACUGAGACACGGUCCAAACUCCUACGGGAGGCAGCAGUGGGGAAUAUUGCACAAUGGGCGAAAGCCUGAUGCAGCAACGCCGCGUGAGUGAUGAAGGCCUUCGGGUCGUAAAACUCUGUCCUCAAGGAAGAUAAUGACGGUACUUGAGGAGGAAGCCCCGGCUAACUACGUGCCAGCAGCCGCGGUAAUACGUAGGGGGCUAGCGUUAUCCGGAUUUACUGGGCGUAAAGGGUGCGUAGGCGGUCUUUCAAGUCAGGAGUGAAAGGCUACGGCUCAACCGUAGUAAGCUCUUGAAACUGGGAGACUUGAGUGCAGGAGAGGAGAGUGGAAUUCCUAGUGUGGCGGUGAAAUGCGUAGAUAUUAGGAGGAACACCAGUUGCGAAGGCGGCUCUCUGGACUGUAACUGACGCUGAGGCACGAAAGCGUGGGGAGCAAACAGGAUUAGAUACCCUGGUAGUCCACGCUGUA
rnacentral:rRNA from 1 species